AUGCUCACUUCUGCAGCACAUAUAUUAAAAUUUGAAUGAUACAGAGAAGAUUAGCAUGGCCCCUGUGCAAGGAUGACAUGCAAAUUUGUGAAGUGUUCUAUAUUUUG